rnacentral:piRNA from 1 species
UAAAGAAUUUACUUUAAACUU